AGACCCGAAACCCGGUGAUCUAGCCAUGGGCAGGUUGAAGGUUGGGUAACACUAACUGGAGGACCGAACCGACUAAUGUUGAAAAAUUAGCGGAUGACCUGUGGCUGGGGGUGAAAGGCCAAUCAAACCGGGAGAUAGCUGGUUCUCCCCGAAAGCUAUUUAGGUAGCGCCUCGUGAAUUCAUCUCCGGGGGUAGAGCACUGUUUCGGCUAGGGGGCCAUCCCGGCUUACCAACCCGAUGCAAACUGCGAAUACCGGAGAAUGUUAUCACGGGAGACACACGGCGGGUGCUAACGUCCGUCGUGAAGAGGGAAACAACCCAGACCGCCAGCUAAGGUCCCAAAGUCAUGGUUAAGUGGGAAACGAUGUGGGAAGGCCCAGACAGCCAGGAUGUUGGCUUAGAAGCAGCCAUCAUUUAAAGAAAGCGUAAUAGCUCACUGGUCGAGUCGGCCUGCGCGGAAGAUGUAACGGGGCUAAACCAUGCACCGAAGCUGCGGCAGCGACGCUGAUGCGUUGUUGGGUAGGGGAGCGUUCUGUAAGCCUGCGAAGGUGACCUGUGAGGGUUGCUGGAGGUAUCAGA
rnacentral:rRNA from 1 species